CAGCAGCCGCGGUAAUACGUAGGGUGCAAGCGUUAAUCGGAAUUACUGGGCGUAAAGCGUGCGCAGGCGGUUAUAUAAGACAGAUGUGAAAUCCCCGGGCUCAACCUGGGAACUGCAUUUGUGACUGUAUAGCUAGAGUACGGCAGAGGGGGAUGGAAUUCCGCGUGUAGAAGUGAAAUGCGUAGAUAUGCGGAGGAACACCGAUGGCGAAGGCAAUCCCCUGGGCCUGUACUGACGCUCAUGCACGAAAGCGUGGGGAGCAAACAGGAUUAGAUACCCCCGUAGUCCCUGUCUCUUAUAA
rnacentral:rRNA from 1 species